UGCCAUGACGUUAGUGUAACAUUUUGGUUUAUUUAAACUUGAAUUCUAUGCAUGAAUUUGUUCCUUCAAAAUGCAGGACAAGCAGGCUAUAAAACAUACUUUGGAAGAAGAAGCUAGGAGGUGCCAGAGGCUGGUGCUAUGGAUUGAUUUUGAUAGAGAGGGUGAGAACAUAGCAUAUGAAGUGAUCGGAGUUUGUAUAGGUUCUAUUCUUCAUAAACAUGUGGGAAUCAGACAAAUCAUAUUAAUUUAUUUUCAAGUAAUGAUUCAAGUAUUGAUACAAAGGUAAGACUGAACUUUGGCUUCAAAGCAAGUGCUGUACUGCAUGGAGAACAUACAUACAUGGAACCCUGAGUCGAGUUCAGUCUUAGAAGUAUAUAGAAUCCAUGUUUAAUUCACUUCAGUUUAUAUGGAAGACUAGAUAUAUAUGACUGUAUGUUCAAAACCACACGCAAUAUUCAGACUCAAAUGCCAAAGUCAUGCUAGAAAGCUUUUUAAAUUUAGUUAUCUUUUACAUAUGGGUGGCUCAAAUUAGAUUGUUGGGAUGAAUUAGUUUGUUUAUGCUCAAUUUGUUAGCGCAUCAAGCAUCUAAAUUCUAAAUUUUUUCCAGUGUUGUUUUGUAUCUUGGCUCUACAUUUGACAGUGACAAACAAACAAUGUGCUUUGUUUUCUGGAGAUACAUGGUUUCAGCACUGCACAUUUACUCAUAUUUCUGGAGCUUUAACCCCUCUCGCAGGUUACUGGACGAAGAGAUAGAGCCAGGCCUUUGACAUUCAAGAUGGAAUCAAGUGAUGCAUGGAGUUACUCGGGGGCAAAUUCUGGUAAUCCUCAAUGCUUUCUUUAUAGUUUGGACUCAAGAACCAGCUCUGCGGCCAUAUAAUUGGAUCUGAUUGAUGCAGUUAAGUCCUGAUGUUAUUUGGAAGAUAAGAACGGUGGUGGAAUCUCUGCAUUGAUUUUGUAGGGAUUGCAUUGAUAAAUCCAUGCGGCUUGGGUAUGUUCCUAGAUAUUAUCUGUUAAGACUGGAAGUACAUUUAUGUUGGUCAGCUCUCCAUCCCAAGCAAAAACUUGCAAAGAUAGCAGGCCCAAGCUUGUUGCUGGUUCCCCAGAAGGAUUUCCUGGUCAUGUUGAUGGGAAGGUUCGAGAGGCAAGGAUGAACCAUCCAAAGGGAUUUACAGUGGAUGACAGGGGUAACAUCUAUGUGGCUGAUGCCAUGAACAUGGCCAUUAGAAAAAUCAGU